CGGGAGCAGUGGCUCUGGCGGUCGUGGCGGUCGGAGAUCCGAGAGCUCUGCUUCUCUGAAAAGCGUGUGGCUUUCUGGACUUGGUCUACACCUGACAGUCACUGGAAUGCUACUCCAGGCCUUAGAAGAAAGUGAAACUAAUUUUAAAGGCCCCUUAUUCUUUCUGUUACCUGCCUGCUGAAGUGAAAAUAAAUCUCCCUGCUCCUUUAUUCUAAACUGAUUUUACUUUCCCAUCUCAAAAACGUGUGCAGGGAGCAGGAGCCCUCCUACCCGAGCCCCAGCUGUAUUGGAAACCCUCCUAAGUCAGAGUGAUGGGUCAGGAAUCUAGCAAGCCUGUAUGGCCCAAUCCAACAGGAGGGUAUCAGUCCAAUACAGGUAGGAGGUAUGGAAGAAGGCAUGCUUAUGUCAGUUUCAGGCCACCCACGAGCCAGCGGGAAAGGAUUGCCAGCCGGAGAAAGACGAACUCCGAAGUCCCAAUGCACAGAUCAGCCCCCAGUCAAACCACCAAGAGGAGCCGAUCGCCAUUUUCCACUACUCGUCGUAGUUGGGACGACAGCGAGAGUUCGGGAACCAACCUGAAUAUUGAUAAUGAGGACUAUUCCAGGUAUCCGCCAAGAGAGUACAGAGCUUCGGGUAGCAGAAGAGGAAUGGCCUAUGGACAUAUUGACUCUUAUGGGGCAGAUGAUAGUGAGGAGGAGGGGGCUGGGCCUGUUGAGCGACCGCCAGUGAGAGG
rnacentral:lncRNA from 1 species